AGUGAACGCUGGCGGUAGGCCUAACACAUGCAAGUCGAACGGCAGCACAGUAAGAGCUUGCUCUUACGGGUGGCGAGUGGCGGACGGGUGAGGAAUACAUCGGAAUCUACUUUUUCGUGGGGGAUAACGUAGGGAAACUUACGCUAAUACCGCAUACGACCUACGGGUGAAAGCAGGGGAUCUUCGGACCUUGCGCGAUUGAAUGAGCCGAUGUCGGAUUAGCUAGUUGGCGGGGUAAAGGCCCACCAAGGCGACGAUCCGUAGCUGGUCUGAGAGGAUGAUCAGCCACACGGGAACUGAGACACGGUCCAGACUCCUACGGGAGGCAGCAGUGGGGAAUAUUAGACAAUAGGCGCAAGCCUGAUCCAGCCAUACCGCGUGGGUGAAGAAGGCCUUCGGGUUGUAAAGCCCUUUUGUUGGGAAAGAAAAGCAGCAGGUUAAUACCCCGCUGUUCUGACGGUACCCAAAGAAUAAGCACCGGCUAACUUCGUG
rnacentral:rRNA from 1 species